UACGUAGGUGACCAGCGUUGUCCGGAUUUACUGGGCGUAAAGAGCGCGCAGGCGGUCGUUCAAGUCGAGUGUGAAAGCCCCCGGCUCAACUGGGGAGGGUCACUCGAUACUGAUCGACUUGAAGGCAGGAGAGGGAAGCGGAAUUCCCGGUGUAGUGGUGAAAUGCGUAGAUAUCGGGAGGAACACCAGUGGCGAAGGCGGCUUCCUGGCCUGUUCUUGACGCUGAGGCGCGAAAGCUAGGGAAGCAAACGGG
rnacentral:rRNA from 1 species